UACGGGGGGAGCAAGCGUUGUUCGGAUUUACUGGGCGUAAAGGGCGCGUAGGCGGUCAGCACAAGUCAGUUGUGAAAUCUCCGGGCUUAACUCGGAAAGGUCAACUGAUACUGUGCGACUAGAGUGCAGAAGGGGCAACUGGAAUUCUCGGUGUAGCGGUGAAAUGCGUAGAUAUCGAGAGGAACACCUGCGGCGAAGGCGGGUUGCUGGGCUGACACUGACGCUGGAGGCGCGAAAGCUAGGGGAGCGAACGGG
rnacentral:rRNA from 1 species